AAUUACCCGGGGAAAAGUUUAACAAGGAUUCCCCUAGUAACGGCGAGUGAAGAGGGAAGAGCUCAAAUUUGAAAGCUGGUACCUUCGGUAUCCGCGUUGUAACCUCGAGACACGUUUUCCGUGCGGCGCUAUGGACAAGUUCCUUGGAACAGGACAUCGUAGAGGGUGAAAAUCCCGUACUUGCCAUGGAUGUACCGUGCUUUGCGAUACGUGCUCUAAGAGUCGAGUUGUUUGGGAUUGCAGCUCAAAAUGGGUGGUAGACUCCAUCUAAAGCUAAAUAUCGGGGAGAGACCGAUAGCGAACAAGUACCGUGAGGGAAAGAUGAAAAGCACUUUGGAAAGAGAGUUAAAAGUACGUGAAAUUGUCGAAAGGGAAGCGCUUGAAGUCAGCCAUGCCGCUCAGGACUCAGCCUGGCUUUUGCUUGGUGUAUUUCCUGGGUAGCAAGUCAGCAUUGGUUUGGAUCGUCGGAGAAGCAUAGUCGGAAUGUGGCGCCCUCGGGCGUGUUAUAGCCUUCUAUUGGAUACGACGAUCUAGACCAAGGAACGCAGCGCGCCUUAUGGCGGGUCUUCGGACACCUUCGCGCUUAGGAUGCUGGCGUAAUGGCUUUAAGUGGCCCGUCUUGAAACCCGGGACCACUUAAGCC
rnacentral:rRNA from 1 species